CAGCCGCCGCGGUAAUACGAAGGGGGCUAGCGUUGUUCGGAAUUACUGGGCGUAAAGCGCACGUAGGCGGAUAUUUAAGUCAGGGGUGAAAUCCCGCAGCUCAACUGCGGAACUGCCUUUGAUACUGGGUAUCUUGAGUAUGGAAGAGGUUAGUGGAAUUGCGAGUGUAGAGGUGAAAUUCGUAGAUAUUCGCAGGAACACCAGUGGCGAAGGCGGCUAACUGGUCCAUAACUGACGCUAAGGUGCGAAAGCGUGGGGAGCAAACAGGAUUAGAUACCCCGGUAGUCCCUGUCUCUUAUAC
rnacentral:rRNA from 1 species